rnacentral:rRNA from 1 species
AAACGGCGCAAAGCGCGAUGAGGGAUCCCAAGUGCCAGCUCGUAAGAGUUGGCUGUUUCUCUGUCUAAAAAGCAAAGAGAGUAAGGGCUGGGUAAGACGGGUGCCAGCCGCCGCGGUAAUACCUGCAGCUCGAGUGGUGGCCGCUAUUAUUGGGCCUAAAACGUCCGUAGCCGGUUUUAUAAAUGCCUGGGUAAAUCGUGUGGCUUAACCAUACGAAUUCCGGGUAGACUGGUAAACUUGAGACCGGGAGAGGCUAGAGGUACUCCUGGGGUAGAGGUGAAAUUCUGUAAUCCUGGGGGGACCACCAGUGGCGAAGGCGUCUAGCUAGAACGGGUCUGACGGUGAGGGACGAAGCCCUGGGGCGCAAACCGGAUUAGAUACCCGGGUAGUCCAGGGUGUAAACGCUGCUUGCUUGAUGUUAGUUGGGCUCCGAGCCCAACUAGUGUCGGAGAGAAGUUGUUAAGCAAGCUGCCUGGGGAGUACGGUCGCAAGACUGAAACUUAAAGGAAUUGGCGGGGGA